rnacentral:rRNA from 1 species
GGCUACGAUGGGUAGGGGUUCUUAGUGGAAGAUCCCCCACACUGGCACUGAGAUACGGGCCAGACUCCUACGGGAGGCAGCAGUAGGGAAUAUUGGUCAAUGGGCGAAAGCCUGAACCAGCCAUGCCGCGUGCAGGAUGACAGCUCUCUGAGUUGUAAACUGCUUUUGUACAGGAGCAAAACAAUCCCUGCGGGGGUUCUUGAGAGUACUGUAAGAAUAAGCACCGGCUAAUUCCGUGCCAGCAGCCGCGGUAAUACGGAAGGUGCAAGCGUUAUCCGGUUUUAUUGGGUUUAAAGGGUGCGUAGGCGGCUUAUUAAGUCAGUUGUGAAAUCCUAGUGCUUAACGCUAGAACUGCAAUUGAUACUAUUAGGCUUGAGUA